UACGGAGGGUGCAAGCGUUAUCCGGAUUCACUGGGUUUAAAGGGUGCGUAGGCGGCUUUGUAAGUCAGUGGUGAAAUACGGUAGCUCAACUAUCGAGGUGCCAUUGAUACUGCGGAGCUUGAGUACAGAUGAGGUAGGCGGAAUUGACGGUGUAGCGGUGAAAUGCUUAGAUAUCGUCAAGAACACCUAUAGCGAAGGCAGCUUACUAGGCUGUAACUGACGCUGAGGCACGAAAGUGUGGGGAUCAAACAGG
rnacentral:rRNA from 1 species